UACAGAGGGUGCGAGCGUUAAUCGGAAUUACUGGGCGUAAAGGGUGCGUAGGUUGUUUUAUGCGUUGGAUGUGAAAUCCCCGGGCUUAACCUGGGAAUGGCAUUUAAUACGGUAGAGCUAGAGUCGUGGAGAGGGAAGUGGAAUUUCCGGUGUAGCGGUGAAAUGCGUAGAUAUCGGAAGGAACAUCGGUGGCGAAGGCGGCUUCCUGGACACAGACUGACACUGAGGCACGAAAGCGUGGGUAGCAAACAGG
rnacentral:rRNA from 1 species